rnacentral:lncRNA from 1 species
CACACACACCUUUUCCUUAAGAUUUCUUUUUCUUAAAGAACUAUGAAAUAAAAUGAUAACUGAAAAGUAUGACUGACAAAGGUUGGAGCAAUGGUUUAGUGGUUAAGAGCACUUACUGCUCCUCUAGAGGACCUGGGUUUAUUCCCAGUGCCCACAUCAGCUGCUCACAUCAUCAGGGAAUCUCCCGCCUGCUGGCUUUCACUAAGACCUGCAUUUCAGUGGUGCACAAAAACUCACAUAGAAAGACAGACAGGCAGGCAGGCAGGCAGGCACGCGGGCAUGCAGACAAACACACACACACACCCUAACAAAGAAAUAGUCUUUUUAAAAAUAAAUGAAAAAUCAAUCAAAAAGACUUUAUUUUGACACCAUUGAAAAAUAUUAAACAAAUCACACACUGUCUAGAUUUCCUUACCAAAAGAAACAAAACUUACUAGAUCUUCAUACCACUGUUAUCUGCCGUGGGGGUAGUCAUUUAACCUAGGAGCCUCAAGGCCUUUAAAUGCUUUAUUCAUCAAGAAAUUAAAACUCAGUCUGGAUGUUUCCAGCAGGGUGUGUAUGGAGGGGCUUGUUAGUACAGGAAGUGGUUACAAACCUCCUGGCUUGGCUGUGGGAACAAGGGGGAAAAGCUAUUCUUCAAACCCCACGAGGCUGAACUUCUACAACAUCCCAGUUCCCGUGUCAGGUGACGCUGCCCUACACACACAGCUGCCAGCCACCUGGUCAAACUCUUUGCUCUCUGCGGCACCACCUGUCAUCCUACUGCUAAACUGACCCUAAGAGUGAAAAGUCACACUCAAUAUGACCUGUCCUCUGCCACUCUAAAACCUCUGGUUUAAUAUUAAAAUAGAAUAAAAACA